GAUGAACGCUGGCGGCGUGCCUAAUACAUGCAAGUCGAACGAAACUUCUUUAUCACCGAGUGCUUGCACUCACCGAUAAAGAGUUGAGUGGCGAACGGGUGAGUAACACGUGGGCAACCUGCCCAAAAGAGGGGGAUAACACUUGGAAACAGGUGCUAAUACCGCAUAACCAUAGUUACCGCAUGGUAACUAUGUAAAAGGUGGCUAUACUACCGCUUUUGGACGGGCCCGCGGCGCAUUAGCUAGUUGGUAGGGUAAAGGCUUACCAAGGCAAUGAUGCGUAGCCGAAUUGAGAGGUUGAUCGGCCACAUUGGGACUGAGACACGGCCCAAACUCCUACGGGAGGCAGCAGUAGGGAAUCUUCCACAAUGGGCGAAAGCCUGAUGGAGCAACGCCGCGUGGGUGAAGAAGGUCUUCGGAUCGUAAAACCCUGUUGUUAGAGAAGAAAGUGCGUGAGAGUAACUGUUCACGUUUCGACGGUAUCUAACCAGAAAGCCACUGCUAACUACGUG
rnacentral:rRNA from 1 species